AACGCACAUUGCGCCCCCUGGUAUUCCGGAGGGCAUGCCUGUUCGAGCGUCAUUUCAACCAUCAAGCUUUGCUUGGUCUUGGGUAUAGUCCGUAUCCAGGACCUGCCCGUAACUUGUAGGCAGUACUAUCCAGCCCUGAGCGUAGCAAUGCAAUCGCUUCAGCACUGUGUUAAUACCCGCCUGAAAAUGAAACCCGAAAUUUUGACCUCGGAUCAGGUAAGAGUACCCGCUGAACUUAA
rnacentral:misc_RNA from 1 species